rnacentral:rRNA from 1 species
AACGUAGGAGACAAACGUUAUCCGGAGUUACUGGGCGUAAAGGGCGUGUAGGCGGUUUGUUAAGUCUGGCGUGAAAGCUCUCGGCUAAACCGGGAGAGGUCGUUGGAUACUGGCAGACUAGAGGACGGUAGAGGCGUGUGGAAUUCCGGGUGUAGUGGUGAAAUGCGUAGAGAUCCGGAAGAACACCGGUGGCGAAGGCGGCCUGCUGGGCAGUAGCUGACGCUGAGGCGCGACAGCGUGGGGAGCAAACAGG